AGGGAGACCUAAUUCCGGUAGGAGACGAAAAAAAAGUAGUCCCAACCAAGAAUCAAUCCCAAAAGGUCGGAGCGAGGCGAAAUUGGCUUUCAAACUAGGUUCUGGGUUCACACAAGACCUGAAUCAGGAACAAGGGCUAUUAGCUCAGGUGGUUAGAGCGCACCCCUGAUAAGGGUGAGGUCCCUGGUUCGAGUCCAGGAUGGCCCACCUGCACAGGUGGCAAAAACAAAGAAAAAAAGCUCCGAAUCAGCACCUUAUCUUACUUAUACAGUAAGAGAGAAUGCUGGCUCUGAGUUCAGAGUCCAGAGGAACCUUGAAAACUGCAUAGAGCUAGGUGAAAAAGCCAAAAAAGAAGACCGCAA
rnacentral:tRNA from 1 species